rnacentral:tRNA from 1 species
GCCCCCGAAACUGCCCAACGUAAAUCGUUGUGACCAGGCGUAAUACAACACCCGCAAACCACAAAAGCCCUGAUGCCGCAUUUCCUAAACCAUGUGCCGUAGGUUCGAAUCCUAUCGGGGGCACCA